UACGGAGAGUGCAAGCAUUAAUCGGAAUUAUUGGGCGUAAAGGGCGCGUAGGCGGAUGUAUAAGUCAGAUGUGAAAUUCCAAAGCUCAACUUUGGAGCUGCAUUUGAAACUAUGGAUCUUGAGGAUUGACGGAGAAAACGGAAUUCCACGUGUAGCGGUGAAAUGCGUAGAUAUGUGGAAGAACACCGGUGGCGAAAGCGGUUUUCUAGUUUAUACCUGACGCUGAGGCGCGAGAGCAAGGGGAG
rnacentral:rRNA from 1 species